GCUGGUUGCGGCGGGGCUGCUUUUGCUGGCCUACAGCGGCGAAUCGGCCACCCGAUCUGGGCGUCGAUGAUGCCGCUGCCUCUGCUCCCCUCUUCCUGGUGCAGGGCGAAGACGCAAUGGUGGUGGCGAACGUGCGGUUUAUGGGACUCGCGGCGGUGCCCUUCUCCAUGGCCUCGCCCUCCUGCGCGGGCGCAUCCUCUGCUCUGCGCCACCUGGACGGCCAGUUCUGCAGCUCGUCAGCGCGCUCUAACGCGUGCUCAGCAACUUCCGUGUACGCCUCCCGACCUCCACGACGCGCUCCACGGCUUCGCAGGGCGUGACGGAGCCUCUGCUCGCAUCCUCAUUCGACGUCGUGCUCUGGGGCAAGGGGCUCCCGGAGUCCGUGCUCGCCGCCGCUGGUAAGACAGUCCUCCAUGUCUAUCCCAGUCUGUUCUACGGCUCCCUCUAUUCCUCCAUCCUGCUCUCCUCCUUCCUGUCCUUCCUCUCCCUGACCCUUCUCCGUCUUCAUUGACCGCGGUGGCGGCGGCGGCGGCCGGCUCCUAUUCAUACACCGUCGUCGAUCUACACCGCCGCGGCGUGUACUCGGAUUUCGCGACCUUGCCGACCAGCCCCUUAUGCUGCCCCCUUGGACUCUGAUCAGCAUCCCAUUCACGGAUAGGAAUUUGGAAGGGGAAGGAGAGGUAAAUUUCUAAGCCUAUAUUUUUUUCCCUUGAUCAUGCCCGCCUAUUUAUUGCAUAUUGUGAAUGGAAGAGCAGCCAAUCUAAUUCUUUGCUUGAUCAAUGUAUGCCAUUCCUUUGUCUUAUUUCCGGUUGAACAUCAAAUUUUUUAUUGCAUUAGCAUAUGGAAUAUAUUCUAAAGGAGUUGCACAUCAUAUGUUCGAUGCCUAUGUCAGAUGUUUAGGCACUGCUGUCAUUUUUAAAACCUGCAUUUCAUCAGCAAAGCUACCUCGAGGCUAUCCAGGAAACAUGUCUGAUCUUUAUUUCGGUUUUGCAAAUCUAUACUUGAAUGUCCUGAGAAUUAUUUACUUGCCCAAAUGCCUCCUUUCGCUUUCAUUUCUAAAUUAAAACAGCAACAUUUCUAUGCCCAAUUAUUUCUAUGCUGUGCUUACUUUUUAAAGCUGCUCAAAAUCAGAGAUUAAAAUUGAUUCUUUUUGCAUCUAUAACUGCAGAUUAAGGAAAUGCUUUUUACUGUAAAAUGGGGCAAGGAUAUUAGAUUGUGCAUUUUCAUAUUUUGUUUCUUUAUGCUAGGAUAGAUAUAUGUCCAUUUAACUUCACAGUGCUCAGUGAAAUUAUUAUGGAGUGACUAAGACUACAAUACAAGCAAGCUCACCAAUGACCAAACUGCGAAGGCAUUCUAAUUAAUCUGAGCAAGAUCUCACUGUUGGAUCUGCGGGAAAAAAAACACAGUUUCUCCUCUAAUAAAGGGUGUGCCUGGACAAGUCAACAAGAAUAACCAAGCAGCUUAAGGUAUUCUAAGAGGCCAUUGAAAUCAGAUUUCCUUAUCAGUUUGAUGGGGUGUCAUCGGGUCCAGAUGAUUUAGUAAUUGUCAUAGCGAUUUGCUCCUGCUGCAUCCACAUUUAAUAGCGCGCUCUAUAUAACUGAUCAGCAGAAAGGUAUGAUCCAAGGGAAGGUUUCUGGGCGCUGCUUCCAAGUAUGAGCGUGAGAAGAGGAUCCCACUGACCCACUCGGUAGCUGUCUUGGGGGAUGCCCCGUAUGCUGUGGGAGGGUAUGAUGGAAGCAACAUGAUAUCUAACGUAGAGAUUUUUUACCUGUGCACUAAUUCAUGGAGAAUAUGCAGCCCAUUACAGGUUACAAUGGACGAUAAUUUGUUCUACAUUGGUGGGCACAGAUACAUCCUGCCAGCGACUGCAUUUCAACCGUCCUUGAUCCAAGUAUGAACACAGGGAAAACUGUUCUCAUGCCGGCAUUUUCCAAACUACUUAAUGCAGCUAUGUAACAUGGCCAGUUCCACCUAAAUACAAUGUCUGUUAAGUUAGUGAACCCUCCUAUUCUCCUACAGCUCCUUAGCUAUCCCAAUUGGAGAUUUAAAUUGUAAUAUAACAACUGCUCCUGUCAAAUACUUCUAUAUGUAUCAUCUGCAGUAGUUUAUCCAUAAACUAUUUAUCACUC